GAUGAAGAACGUAGCGAAAUGCGAUAAGUAAUGUGAAUUGCAGAAUUCAGUGAAUCAUCGAAUCUUUGAACGCACCUUGCGCUCCUUGGUAUUCCGAGGAGCAUGCCUGUUUGAGUGUCAUUAAAUUCUCAACCUUUCCAGCUUUUGCGAGUUUGGAUUGGCUUGGAUGUGGAGGUUUGCAGGCUUCUCAGAAGUCAGCUCCUCUUAAAUGCAUUAGCGGAACCUUUGUGGACCAGCUUUGGUGUGAUAAUUAUCUAUGCCAUGGUUGUGAAGCAGUUUUUAUAUGGGGUUCAGCUUCUAACAGUCCAUUGACUUGGACAAUUUCUGACAUUUUGACCUCAAAUCAGGUAGGACUACCCGCUGAACUUAAGCAUAUCAAUAAGCGGAGGA
rnacentral:misc_RNA from 1 species